rnacentral:rRNA from 1 species
AGACCAGCACGCCGCGUGGAUGAUGAAGGCCUUCAGGUUGUAAACUCCUGUUAGAGGAGAAGAAUAGUACCGGUUGGACCGGUAUAUGACUGUACCCUCCCAGAAAGCCCCGGCUAACUACGUGCCAGCAGCCGCGGUAAUAUAAUAUA